rnacentral:lncRNA from 1 species
GCUGUUCUUAUUUGCUGAAAGAGAAAAGACCACAGAAUUGAAUACCAGUGAUUUCCCGUUUUCUUAACUCUACUGAAAACUGCUCCAUGAAGCCAGAAUUUGGACAUAUGGAAGGUCUUGCAUUUUUCACCAAAGAAAAAGCACUGGUAAAUGAGGUUUGUUCAGAAUUCAUCAGGAAACCUAUUACAAUUGCAGCAGCCCUGGAAACGCCUGCAUUACAAUGAACAAGAACCACUCCAUCCUAUGUAUCCAAAUCAUGAGCAGCAUCUUGUGACCCUAGAAGAAAUAAAUGAUACCACCUUGAACACAAAUAUAAUCAUCUUGAACUUUUAUAUAAAUUUCUACAGCAAUUCUGUUAU